AGCAGUAGCAGAAGUUGGAUAAUUUGAUUAGAAUUGUAAUGUGAAAUCAGCUGAUUCACCUGCUAAAACUUGUUUAGACUUUCAGCUUCCUAAAGCCUUCUGUAGCCUUUAUAUUAAUUGUAUGUAAUGUUAUUAAGUAUACAUAGUUAACUUUUUAAUUUAGAAAUGUACAUUUUUUCAUGUAACAUAAGUCUUAAAUGCUCAUUUUAAUUUAAGCCUAUACAGUGAAUUGGGCAAGAUAUUUAACAAGGUACUUAAAUAUCACAUUUAUUAUUUUUUAAAACCCUAGGCUUACAAAAGUGGAUUUUUAAAAGGUUAUUUUGAAAACAGGAAAAAAAAAAACAAAAACGUAUAUUGCCAAUAUAUCCAGACUUCAGGGGGACCUUUUUGUGUGCUUUUUCACCAACUCUUGACAAGGAACCAAUAUUAUAGAUUUAUUUCAUGAAGAAGAUCAUGUAUGGCUUUUUUUAAAUGUGUUUUUUGUUUUGCUUCUAUACCUUUAAUUUCUGUUCUUGAAUAACCUUUCUUUAAAAAACUGGUUUUUUAAGGCUUUAUCUUCUAAGCUGAUAUUCACUUCUUUAUUUGGUGAACUGUCAGAAUAUAGUGAAUGCUUUCAAAUAUUGAAGGAUUUAAUGUUUAAAAAGCCAUAAAAUAAAGAGUGAUGAUACUACCAAAUAAUUGCUUAAAACUGAAAGCUAAGUGAGCAAUAGUGUAUAUAACAGAUUUGUUUUUCUGGGGAGAUGUGUAUCCAGUGACCCAAGGUAUAAAGAAUUUAUAUAACUUUUUUUCCAGUAAACAUGACAAGAAGCUGCAGCUUAUUAUUAUAUGUCCAAAAUACACUGGAGCCUUAUUUUAAAAUAAUGUGCUGUAACUUGUAAUUUGUUCUGUAAUGAGUCUGUUUUGAAUUCUCAUCUAAGAAACUGUAGUCUAAAAAAGGACCCAGGUGUCUUAUAAAAUGUGUUUUCAUGUAGUGUGAAUUCUGAAGACCACAUUGUGCCAGUAUGAUAAUAGAGCAUCCAACAACCGCUGCUAGAAAUUGAAUCACGAAUAACAGCUAAUAAUUUUUCCAUUCACAGGAACAU
rnacentral:lncRNA from 1 species